AGGCAAUAAUCUCAGAGCAAAAACAGCACCCAGUAGUCUACUUAUUUCCCCACCCCCACCCCACACUACCUCCUUCCCUCUGCCCCCGCUUUUCUGUGCCUCAGGUGUCGCAGCCACAUGUCAGGAUGGAGACACGCUGAAAGUAAGAAAUCAAAGCCAUCCAAGAAUGACUGAAGAGGAGAGACAAGCCUAAUGGGUCCCUAAUGAGUAUACAAGGAAUACAGUAUACAAGGGGAAGACACACCUUAUGAAGGAUGAAAUGACUUGUUUAAGGGAAGGAAGGCACUGAGUCACUCAGGAAUGACCCACUCAGGAAGUGAGUGGGAACUUUUCAAUAUUGAACCUUCUGAGUCUGAAAAGGCUGUGGAACUCUUUGCUUCCCGAUCCUUUAGGAGAGGCGAGCUGUCAAAGGCCACCACACUUGGGGUUAUGUAUCAAUGUAAAGUAUAUUCUAAGACAUCACAGAGAACAGAUAUGAAGCUGAUACGUGACAGAUUUGAUAGCAAUUAAAGUAACAGAACAUGCUUUCACCUUGGAAUGAAGUCAUUAUUUGUCAACACUUUUCUUAAAAGAUAAAAUUGGAGUUUUUCAGACUCACUAUUCUAGACAGUGUUAGAGAAAUUUGAAAAUUGUCUACUAGUUUGUUAAAGAUGUUUUAAAAUAUGUUCUAAAGUUGCUUAUUAGUGUUUUUCUGAAAAAAUUGUUUAAAAAGAACAAAUGGG
rnacentral:lncRNA from 1 species